rnacentral:rRNA from 1 species
GUAGUCCACGCCGUAAACGAUGAUAACUAGCCGUUGGGAGGAUUUACCUCUUAGUGGCGAAGCUAACGCGUUAAGUUAUCCGCCUGGGGAGUACGGCCGCAAGGUUAAAACUCAAAGGAAUUGACGGGGACCCGCACAAGCGGUGGAGCAUGUGGUUUAAUUCGAUGCAACGCGAAGAACCUUACCUGGUCUUGACAUACAGAGAACUUUCUAGAGAUAGAUUGGUGCCUUCGGGAACUCUGAUACAGGUGCUGCAUGGCUGUCGUCAGCUCGUGUCGUGAGAUGUUGGGUUAAGUCCCGUAACG